CACGUAGGGCGCAAGCGUUGUCCGGAAUUAUUGGGCGUAAAGAGCUCGUAGGCGGUCUGUUGCGUCUGCUGUGAAAACCCGGGGCUUAACCCCUGGCUUGCAGUGGAUACGGACAGACUAGAGGUAGGUAGGGGAGAAUGGAAUUCCUGGUGUAGCGGUGAAAUGCGCAGAUAUCAGGAGGAACACCAAUGGCGAAGGCAGCUCGCUGGGACGGCACUGACGCUGAGACGCGAAAGCGUGGGGAGCAAACAGG
rnacentral:rRNA from 1 species